rnacentral:rRNA from 1 species
GACGGUCUCAGUUCGGAUUGAAGGCUGAAAUUCGCCUUCAUGAAGUCGGAAUUUUGCUAGUAAUGGCAGGUCAGCAUACUGCCGUGAAUACGUUCCCGGGCCUUGUACACACCGCCCGUCACACCAUGAGAGUUGGGAAUACCCGAAGCCUGUGAGCCAACAAUCGAGGCAGCAGUCGAAGGUAGAAUCAAUGAUUGGGGUGAAGUCGUAACAAGGUAAC